rnacentral:rRNA from 1 species
UAAUACUCGAGCCCCAAGUGGUAUCCACGAUUAGUGGGUCUAAAGCGUCCGUAGCCGGUUUGGUAAGUUCUCAGUGAAAUCCUUUGGCAAACUGAAGGGCUUGCUGGGAAUACUACUAGACUUGGGACUGGGAGAGGGUAGAGGUACUCCCGGGGGAGGGGUAAAAUCCUAUAAUCCUGGGGGGACCACCUGUGGCGAAGGCUUCUACCUAGAACAGGUUCGACGGUGAGGGACGAAACCUAGGGGAGCGAUCGGGAUUAGAUACCCCGGUAGUCCUAGGUGUAAACUAUGCCCGUUUGGUGUUGCCGACCUUUCGAGGGUCUGCAGUGCCGGAGCGAAGGUGUUAAACGGGCCACCUGGGGAGUACGUCCGCAAGGAUG